rnacentral:rRNA from 1 species
GAUGAACGCUGGCGGCGUGCCUAAUACAUGCAAGUCGAACGAAACUUCUUUAUCACCGAGUGCUUGCACUCACCGAUAAAGAGUUGAGUGGCGAACGGGUGAGUAACACGUGGGCAACCUGCCCAAAAGAGGGGGAUAACACUUGGAAACAGGUGCUAAUACCGCAUAACCAUAGUUACCGCAUGGUAACUAUGUAAAAGGUGGCUAUACUACCGCUUUUGGAUGGGCCCGCGGCGCAUUAGCUAGUUGGUAGGGUAAAGGCUUACCAAGGCAAUGAUGCGUAGCCGAACUGAGAGGUUGAUCGGCCACAUUGGGACUGAGACACGGCCCAAACUCCUACGGGAGGCAGCAGUAGGGAAUCUUCCACAAUGGGCGAAAGCCUGAUGGAGCAACGCCGCGUGGGUGAAGAAGGUCUUCGGAUCGUAAAACCCUGUUGUUAGAGAAGAAAGUGCGUGAGAGUAACUGUUCACGUUUCGACGGUAUCUAACCAGAAAGCCACGGCUAACUACGUG